rnacentral:tRNA from 1 species
GCCUAAGUGGUGAAAUAGGUAAACACAAGGGACUUAAAAUCCCUCGGUCAGAAAUGACUUUGUGGGUUCAAAUCCCACCUUAGGUA